CUAAGAAUAUUCCGCAAUGGACGAAAGUCUGACGGAGCGACGCCGCGUGGAUGAUGAAGGCCGGAAGGUUGUAAAAUCCUUUUGUCGGGGAAGAAUAAGCGCGGGAGGGAAUGCCCGCGUGAUGACAUGAACCGGCGAAUAAGCCCCGGCUAACUACGUGCCAGCAGCCGCGGUAACACGUAGGGGGCGAGCGGUGUUCGGAAUUACUGGGCGUAAAGGGCAUGUAGGCGGUCCUGUAAGCCUGACGUGAAAGGCUAUGGCUCAACCAUGGCACUGCGUUGGGAACUGCGGGACUUGAAUCACGGAGGGGGAGCUGGAAUUCCAGGUGUAGGGGUGAAAUCUGUAGAUAUCUGGAAGAACACCGGUGGCGAAGGCGAGCUCCUGGCCGAUGAUUGACGCUGAGGUGCGAAAGUGUGGGGAUCAAACA
rnacentral:rRNA from 1 species